AUUCCAGCUCCAAUAGCGUAUAUUAAAGUUGUUGCAGUUAAAAAGCUCGUAGUUGGAUUUCUGGGAGGGUGCCAAUGUCCGUCGUCGUACGUGUUGCAGCGGCGCCCUUCCAUCCUUCUGUUAACGACUUUGGGCAUUCACUUGCCGGAGUCGGGCUCAGAUAUUUUACCUUGAGAAAAUUAGAGUGUUUCAGGCAGGCUAGGCCGGAAUACAUUAGCAUGGAAUAAUGGAAUAGGACUACGGUCUCUUUGUUGGUUUGAGGGACUGCAGUAAUGAUUAAUAGGGAUAGUUGGGGGCAUUAGUAUUUAAUUGUCAGAGGUGGAAUUCUCGGAUUUGUUAAAGACUAACUUAUGCGAAAGCAUUUGCCAAGGAUGUUUUCAUUA
rnacentral:rRNA from 1 species